rnacentral:rRNA from 1 species
GGAAUUUUGCGCAAUGGGGGAAACCCUGACGCAGCAACGCCAUGUGUGGGAUGAAGCAUUUCGGUGUGUAAACCACUGUCAGCGGGGAAUAAACGGCAGCUUUGGGCUGCUUUGCAUGUACCCGCACAGGAAGCCCCGGCUCACUUCGUGCUAGCAGCCGCGGUAAUACGAGGGGGGCAAAUGUUGUUCGGAAUCACUGUGCGUAAAGGGAGCGUAGGCGGGUUUUUAAGUUAGGUGUUUAAUCCCGGGGCCCAACCCCGGACCGGCACUUAAAACUGGGAAUCUUGAAUAGUGGAGAGGUCGGUUGAAUUGGGGGUGUAGCGGUGGAAUGCGUAGAGAUCCCCAAGAACACCAGUUGCGAAGGCGGCCGACUGGACACAUAUUGACGCUGAGGCUCGAAAGCAUGGGGAGCAAAC